AUGUAUAUAUGUAUGUAUAUAUGUACGUAUGUGUAUAUAUUUAUGUAUGUAUAUAUGUACAUAUAUGUAUGUAUAUAUAUAUAUGUAUAUUUGUAUAUAUAUGUAUAUUUGUAUAUAUAUAUAUAUAUAUAGGACUAAAUGAUUUGCUCUCAGUUUGGAUCUAGAGACCAACACAUGCUGGAUUUUCUAGAACUGUAGUGUUAUUUCAAAUGCUUCUGUUCUUGGCUAGUAGAAGAGUUAGCAUGAGCAGGCAGCAGCCUGACUCAGGACCGAGGUCUGGAUAUUUGUCAUUCCUGUGUUUGUUUCUCAGGUGAAACAGGGGGAAGCAGACGGUGGCAGACUUCAUCAGUGUCAGCAGUGUGGGAAGUCUUUCAGCCGGGUCUGCAGCCUCAGACAGCAUGAACUCAGCCACCCUGCAGAGAAACCGCACCACUGUGAACAGUGUGACAGCAGCUUCAGUCAGCUAGAGGCGUACCAGCUCCACCUGCUCAAGCACUCUGCAGAAACACUUUACUGUUGCAACCGGUGUGAGCAGAGCUUCAGCAGCCACAGCUCAUUCAAACAGCACCUGCAUGAACACAGUCGAGUUUACCAGUGUGACCAGUGUGAAAAGAGUUUCACUUACCUCAGCAUUUAUAAGAUCCACAUGCGAGUUCACACUGGGGAGAAACCGUACUGCUGUGAUCAGUGCCCCAAGAGUUUCAGUGUUCUGAGCUCAUAUAAGCGACACCAGCUGAGCCACAGUGGAGAGAAACCGUACCAGUGCGACUUUUGUGGGAAAAGGUUCACUCAGUCUGCUCAUUUCACUUUGCAUCUACGUAUUCAUACGGGAGAGAAACCAUAUGAGUGUGAGCAGUGUCAAAAGAGCUUUAGUGACCUGAGAGGAUACAGGACACACAUAAGGGUCCACACAGGAGAGAAACCCUACUGCUGCUCUCAGUGUGGGAGGAGUUUCUCUCAGUUAGGGAACUACAAAUCACACAUGCGCAUCCACACGGGAGAGAAACCAUUUCAAUGUGAGGUCUGUGACAAAAGCUUUUCCAUUUCUAAAACAUACAAAAGGCAUAUGAACACGCACACUGGAGAGAAACCGCACAAGUGUGAGGAAUGUGGGAAAGGGUUUGCUUGUCGGAGUAACUAUGCGCGACACCUACGUAUCCACACAGGGGAACAGCCGUACAGCUGUGGGCAGUGUGGGAAAUGUUUCAACAGUUCAUAUAGUUACAGCCGACACCUGCGUGUGCAUUCAGGAGAGAAACCGUACUGGUGCUCUCAUUGUAAGAGACUGUUUACCAGAUCACAGUCCUUGAAGAAACACCGCUGUAUACAGGUAGAGAAUGAGAGUAUGAUUGUGUGUAAGCAAGAAGAAGAACCACUCAGUUGCUCAUUAACACAAAAUACUGAUGACACUCAAGAACCAGUGAAUUAAACUACAGCAGUUACUGUACUACCCCAUAAUGACAAAGCAUACGGCACAAUACAACACUAAAUACCACUAAUGUGUAUAUGAUUUAAAUUAAACAAAAAUAUUGUGACUUUAAAAAAAAAAACACUUAAGACAUGUUGAUUAGGUACAAAGUGGUUGCAUUAAGUGUGUCCUCUAAAAGUUCUUUUUUUUGUCUCUGACAGACUCCAGUUGUUAUUCAAAGAAUCUGACAGCAGUACAGAAAAGAUCCCCACAGAUUAAGAGAUUUCUGUGACAAAACAAGAUGAUUUUUUUGAAACCAUAGUCAGGUGAUACAUCACUCUACUAACUCACCAAACUGCACUGAGAAAACCAGGAGUGUAACCUGCAGGACACAGGUAUGUGGACUCCUUCAGCUGCUCAGUUUGUUUGUGUAUCUCUGGGUCAUUGAAGUGUUGUUAUAGAUGUACAACGUGUUUCUCUUAAAUGCACAACUUAAUUCAAAUUUUAAUUUGGUACUUUUAUUUUUGGCAUAAAUGAAAGACAGAAUUCUGCUGUAGUUAUAACUAUUAAAUAUGAAUUUUUAAAGGACUCUUUCUGAUAAAUGGGCUGUUUCUUUCUUUACAUGUAUGUAUGUAUAUAUCAGUGGGGGCUGCUGGUCUUUCAAGGAGGGGAAGCUCAUUUUUCUGGCCUACAUCAUAAUUGUGUUUGUUUAUUUAUAUGUAACAGAACAGAGUCGCCAAACACAACGGCAGUCGUUUUUAACAAAGAAAAAAGUCACUGACGAUCGGUAAAGUCUCUCGAGCAGUUAAGAACAACGGAAUGAAUAACUUGGAAAAUGCUUUGGUAGAUGUUUUAUUCUUCAAGAUCGCUAAUUCGCUUAUUUAGCUGUCAAUCAAAAAAGGAUUUCGCCUCAGACCGCUCAUCCAAUCAUGGAUGCAGAAGCUCGGAGUCCGGGAGAAAGUUGGGACCGCCCUCUCGCCAUAGAACUCCAGAGAAGCUCAGCGUCUGAUGGUCGGUACAAAGCCCAGCAUUUAUCCAAUGAGCGUCUAGUUUCGCUGCUGGAACAACCCACUUUGAGCUUCCACAUUGAAGUCAGCAGAAGCCCAGCGUCCGGCUGUUUAAAGCGCUGAGGUGCUGCGAGGAUGAAUGAGAACGAAGUUGUGCAGAAUCAGCUUCUUAUCACACUGUGAUAAGAAGCUGAUUCUGAGCAAAAGAUGAAGGCUUUCUAGCGCGUAUUUAGUUAAUGAAAUGUACACACAGCAGUACGUAUUUCACCACUUUUUCUUUUUUGGGGGGGGGGUGACAUUUUAAGGGAAGCUGAGCUUCCCUUGCAGUCUUACAGCAAUCGCCACUGGUAUAUAUAUAUAUAUAUAUAUAUGUAUGUGUAUACAUAUAUAUAUAUAUAUAUAUAUAUAUAUAUAAAUAUGUGUGUAUGUAUGUAUGUAUGUAUGUAUGUAUAUCCAAUACAGGCCAUAAGUUUGGAAGCAAGGCCAUUACAGGCCAAACAGUUGGGAGUAACUUCAGGUUUUUGUACACAAUGCUUUUUUUAAAAUCCAGCAUGAGUUGUAUGUAUUUUGGGAUGUAUUUACUCCAUGAUCAGAUGUUGCUUUCAUGGAAGUGCACCAUUUUACUCCAUUUACAUUUAGAUAUACAUUGAUGUUAACAGACCAUUGCUAAAUAAAGUGCAUCCGGAAAGUAUUCAUACCACUUCUCUUUUUCCACAUUUUGUUGUUACAGCC
rnacentral:lncRNA from 1 species